AUUGAACGCUGGCGGCAUGCUUUACACAUGCAAGUCGAACGGUAACAGGCCGCAAGGUGCUGACGAGUGGCGAACGGGUGAGUAAUGCAUCGGAACGUGCCCAGUCGUGGGGGAUAACGCAGCGAAAGCUGCGCUAAUACCGCAUACGAUCUAUGGAUGAAAGCGGGGGACCGUAAGGCCUCGCGCGAUUGGAGGCGCCGAUGUCAGAUUAGGUAGUUGGUGGGGUAAAGGCUCACCAAGCCGACGAUCUGUAGCUGGUCUGAGAGGACGACCAGCCACACUGGGACUGAGACACGGCCCAGACUCCUACGGGAGGCAGCAGUGGGGAAUUUUGGACAAUGGGCGCAAGCCUGAUCCAGCAAUGCCGCGUGCAGGAAGAAGGCCUUCGGGUUGUAAACUGCUUUUGUACGGAACGAAAAGGCUCUGGUUAAUACCUGGGGCUCAUGACGGUACCGUAAGAAUAAGCACCGGCUAACUACGUGCCAGCCGCCGCUGUAA
rnacentral:rRNA from 1 species